UCCUUCUUAGCUCAAUUGGUAGAGCGUGUCACUAUGGUGUUUCUGCGAAUUAGAAUCCUGUUUUAUGAAUCUAUGAUGACAAGGUUAGUCAUUCAAAUCGACUAGAAGGAA